AAAAAGGAGUAUCAAAGGAAGAAGGUGAGCAAAUAAUUGAGAAGAUGAAAGCUAUCGGGGCCAAAGUCGUGCUGGAAUGAAUGGAAGCCAUGUGUUUACCUUCAGGAAUUUUCUAAAUCCAGUUACUAUUUACUUCAGAAACUUCCAUUUCUCAUGUUUACCGAAUUUCAAUUGAGGAUUUGUUGGCCCUCGCUCCAUUACAGAGUCCAUCCACGAGCGCUUGAAGUUUGACAUUUUUAUAUACAAUGCUGGAUAGGUGUG
rnacentral:lncRNA from 1 species